rnacentral:rRNA from 1 species
UACGUAGGUGGCAAGCGUUGUCCGGAUUUACUGGGCGUAAAGAGCGCGCAGGCGGUCGUUCAAGUCGCGUGUGAAAGCCCCCGGCUCAACUGGGGAGGGUCACGCGAUACUGAUCGACUCGAAGGCAGGAGAGGGUAGUGGAAUUCCCGGUGUAGUGGUGAAAUGCGUAGAUAUCGGGAGGAACACCAGUGGCGAAAGCGGCACCCUGGCGUCGUACUGACGCACAUGUGCGAAAGCGUGGGGAGCGAACGGG